GUUAGAUUUCUACCAUUUAUCAUCUUCAAGUGCAUCUUGAAGGAAAGGCCCGAUAAUCACAAUUCUUAAAAUAUGACACGAAUUGGAUAAUGUGCCAAAAUUAAAGUAAUUCUUAGUUUUAGAUAUAUUCCUAGUUGAAUAUUGUGACGAGCACAAGACUAUUUGAGCUCAAGUGCUCAAAUAGGAUAAUCAAUUUAAGAUUAGAGCUGAGAUAAAGUCAAUGUUUCUAUUUCCUUCCAUAUAAGAACCAAGAACAUUGGACUAUGUGAUCCUAAAUAUUGUAGGUAGAAACAAAUAGACAUGCAGUCUCAAUGUUCUGCUUAACGAUUUUGUCUCCAAGUAAUAAUACUGUUUAUAUGUUUGUUUUCUGAUAAAUAAAGUACUGUUAUAAAUAGAAUGUUUAUUGUGCAAUUAUAUUAUUAGAGUUGAGGUGUAAUUUGUUAAAUCCGUUGUACUUAAAUGGUUGAAGCAAAUGGGAAUUACUUGUGAGCAUGAUGCCAAGACAUCCCUACUUUCUAUGAAGGAAUGCUGAUCACAAGUUCGUAUACACGAACCAAAUUAAAGUAUUGAAAGUGUAAGAGUCUAGGAGAACACAUUUUUUCUUAGGUUGUAUUGUAAUGAUGCUGAUAUCAUGUAGGGAAUAUUCGGAAGAAGUUAAGUUCUUAUGUUUGCUAGCCUUCCAAACUAAGUGUAUGCUGAGUAAUCAUAUGAUAUAACAUUUACAAGGUCAGGCCAUAUCUACUUGUACAAGAAUUAUAUGGAAAAAAAACCCUUGGUUAAAUAUGUUGCAAUUUGGAAAGCAUGAACCAACUUUAGGAAGCAUGUAAGCACUUAAAUCAAUCUUUUAGUGAUAGACUAUAUCUUCUUGUGAAAAACAUGGAUGAGGAAUUGCUGUGAUAUUUUAAAAAAGGAAAACUCUCUAUUAUAAAUAUUGAAAUUGGAAAACUGCUCAUUAGGUUUACUGGUCAACCUAAGGAUCCAAACCAAUCAAUGAUCAAAACUUUUGAAUCCUGUCCACAGUUUGCUGCCUAAACUGAGAGCCUAACUACAAUCGACUGGUUUUCCCGUGGACUGUGCUAGUUGACCUAUCUAGGUCGGCCAAGAUUCAAGGUUGAAGAAAAAAGAUGAUACCCAAAAACAAAAAAAGAUGGAAAGGGAUUUGGGCCCAGUCCAAAACAGUCGUUUUCUAAGAGAAGAUUGCAACAGCAUCCAAGACUGUUUAGGCAUACUUAUUGACUAACGGGGGAUCUUACUAGGCAGUAAUUCAGUAAAUGAUAAGUAAAAAGAAGAACAAGGUAUCGAGAGGUUGUCUAAUGAAAUGCGGUGAUACUGUCAAGAGUAGAUUGCUUGCUCUUGUAUGGAAUGCACACAUCCCAGACUUAAAUCUGCCUGCACCCCUCCUAGGUUUUUGGUUUCUAUUUAUAUUUUAAUGUUCCUGCUUUGCUUACAGUUUUGAGUUGUAUACUACAAAGGACUGCUCGAGCUAUCCUUAUAUGUAUGUGUGUGUGUAUAUACGACGAACAAUUUAUAAAAAAUCUCAUCUUGCAUGCAUAAAUCUUGAACUUAAUUAGCAUUCUUUUACACUUCUAGGUAAUUGCAUUUUUUUUUAUUUCCUUGUCUGGUUAUUGCAAGAGCAGAACGAUUUUAGUGCUGCUAUAUCUGAAUGAACUUGACAUGGAAUCUGUGUUUUAUUGUC